GAUAGGUAAAUAGAGGAAUAACAAAGGAAGGAAAGAGGGGAAAAGGAAGGGGGAGGAACACUUCCUAACUGUAUACCUCGGCACAGUGAGAAUCACAAGUGAUUCUCACUGUGCCGAGGUAUACAGUUAGGAAGUGUUCCUCCCCCUUCCUUUUCCCCUCUUUCCUUCCUUUGUUAUUCCUCUAUUUACCUAUCU
rnacentral:miRNA from 1 species